AUUGAACGCUGGCGGCAGGCCUAACACAUGCAAGUCGAGAGGAGCGGCGGACGGGUGCGUAAUGCCUAGGAAUCUGCCUGGUAGUGGGGGAUAACGUCCGGAAACGGGCGCUAAUACCGCAUAAUAUCAGAUGAGCCAAGGUCGGAUUAGCUAGUUGGGGGGGUAAAGGCCUCCAAAGGCGACGAUCCGCAACUGGUCUGAGAGGAGGAUCAGUCACACUGGAACGGAGACACGGUCCAGACUCCUACGGGAGGCAGCAGGGGGGAAUAUUGGACAAUGGGCGAAAGCCUGAUCCAGCCAUGCCGCGUGUGUGAAGAAGGUCUUCGGAUUGUAAAGCACUUUAAGUUGGGAGGCGUUACCAACAGAAUAAGCACCGGCUAACUUCGUGCCAGCAGCCGCGGUAAUUC
rnacentral:rRNA from 1 species